rnacentral:rRNA from 1 species
CCCUUAGAUGUUCUGGGCCGCACGCGCGCUACACUGAUGCAUUCAACGAGUCUAAAACCUGCUCUGAUAGGGGUGGGUAAUCUUUUGAAUGUGCAUCGUGAUUGGGAUAGAUGAUUGCAAUUUUUCAUCUUCAACGAGGAAUGCCUAGUAAACGCAAGUCAUCAGCUUGCAUUGAUUACGUCCCUGCCCUUUGUACACACCGCCCGUCGCUCCUACCGCUUGAAUGAUCCGAUGAAUAUCAUGGAUUGAGGAUGCAAGCAGGUUCGCCUGUCUUCAUCUUCGAGAAGUGAAGUAAAUCUUAUCAUUUAGAGGAAGGAGAAGUCGUAACA